AAGCUCGUAGUUGAAUUUCGGGAUCAAUAUUUCGGUCAUGCCGUUGGUAUGCACUGUUAUCAUUGAUUUCUCACCUUCUAAAGAACCGUGAUGCCAUUAAUUUGGUGUUACGGGGAAUUAGGACUGUUACCUUGAAAAAAUUAGAGUGUUUAAAGCAGGCUCACGCUUGAAUACAUUAGCAUGGAAUAAUGAAAUAGGACAUCCGAUUCUAUUUUGUUGGUUUCUAGGAUCGAUGUAAUGAUUAAUAGGGAUAGUUGGGGGCAUUAGUAUUCAAUUGUCAGAGGUGAAAUUCUUGGAUUUAUUGAAGACUAACUACUGCGAAAGCAUUUGCCAAGGAUGUUUUCAUUAAUCAAGAACGAAAGUUAGGGGAUCGAAGACGAUCAGAUACCGUCGUAGUCUUAACCAUAAACUAUGCCGACUAGGGAUCGGAUGAUGUUAAUUUUUUAAUGACUCAUUCGGCACCU
rnacentral:rRNA from 1 species